rnacentral:lncRNA from 1 species
UUUUUUACACUUGCUUGUUUGACAUGUUUCUUGUGUUGUUCAUCUCUUUCAUACUUAUAUACACUAGCUUGUUUCAAUUUUUCUCUGUACUUGUCAUUUUCUUGAUAUUUCUGAAUUCCAGAUUCUUUUAAAGCAUCUCUGUAUUCCUUGUCCUCUCGAUAUUUCUUAAUACCUGCUUGUCUUAAAUUAUCUCUGUAUGUCUGAUCUUCUUCAUACUUCUUAACUUUUUUCAAACGUGUUCCUUCAUUUUCCCAAUAUUUUCUUUUCAGCGUGGAAGUCUUUCUUGCUUUAAAUUCCUCAUCUUUCCUGUACCUUAUCCUUUCUUUUUCAGCUUUUGAUAAGACUUUUUAAUUCAUCAUCCGAAUAGUUAUCGAAUCAUUAAUUUUCAUUGUUGGCACCUCAUAUUUCCUAUCAAAUUCAUUCUUUUCCCUUCCAACUG